rnacentral:snRNA from 1 species
GUGCUCGCUUCUGCUGCACAUAUAGUAAAAUUGGAACGAUACAGAGAAGAUUAGCAUGGCCCCUGCGUAAGGAUGACGCGCUAAUUUGUGAAGCGCUCCAUAUUUUU